rnacentral:rRNA from 1 species
GUAAAGGGAGCGUAGGUGGCUCGAUAAGUCAGAUGUGAAAUCCCCGGGCUCAACCUGGGAACUGCAUCUGAUGCUGUUGAGCUAGAGUAUGUGAGAGGAAGGUAGAAUUCCAGGUGUAGCGGUGAAAUGCGUAGAGAUCUGGAGGAAUACCGAUGGCGAAGGCAGCCUUCUGGCAUAAUACUGACACUGAGGCUCGAAAGCGUAGGUAGCAAACAGGAUUAGAUACCCUGGUAGUCCACGCCGUAAACGAUGUCUACUAGUCGUUGGGUCCCUUGAGGACUUAGUGACGCAGCUAACGCAAUAAGUAGACCGCCUGGGGAGUACGGCCGCAAGGUUAAAACUCAAAUGAAUUGACGGGGGCCCGCACAAGCGGUGGAGCAUGUGGUUUAAUUCGAUGCAACGCGAAGAACCUUACCUGGUCUUGACAUAUCUAGAAUCCUGCAGAGAUGCGGGAGUGCCUUCGGGAAUUAGAAUACAGGUGCUGCAUGGCUGUCGUCAGCUCGUGUCGUGAGAUGUUGGGUUAAGUCCCGCAACGAGCGCAACCCUUGUCCUUAGUUACCAGCGGGUUAAGCCGGGAACUCUAAGGAUACUGCCAGUGACAAACUGGAGGAAGGCGGGGACGACGUCAAGUCAUCAUGGCCCUUACGACCAGGGCUACACACGUGCUACAAUGGUAGGUACAGAGGGCAGCUACACAGCGAUGUGAUGCGAAUCUCAAAAAGCCUAUCGUAGUCCAGAUUGGAGUCUGCAACUCGACUCCAUGAAGUAGGAAUCGCUAGUAAUCGCGGAUCAGAAUGCCGCG